AAAUGGGGAGGCAUUAGGGGACGGAUGCAAUCAAUGUAAAUUAGAAACUGUGUGACCUCACUGAAUGAGGGUGGACCUUUAUCAGAAUCACUGGAGGCCAUUCUGAGCAGAAGAAAUACCCACGUAGGACAGAAAGCCACUGGGAGGAGCCAGAAGCCGGAAGUCAAGAAACCCGGAAGUAAACGGAGCCCAGAAGCCAACGGGAGCCCGGAAGAGAAAGAAGAGGACGUCACGUUGCGUAGGACAAACGAAGGAGCCCCUGAAAUGGCUGCCGACAAGAAUGCUGCUGACGCAGGAGCAAGUGAGUCUUCUGGCCAGUGCUGCGAUUUGGACUUCUGGCUUCUGAAACGAGAUCUUGGAAAGCAAGGAUUCUGGAUGGUGUAGUCCAGGAUGGAAACUUUAUGGGUUCCUGAGUCACUGUUUGGAGAAGAGCUUCCUGGGAGAGCUACAUGACCCACAACAGAUCUUGUGACAUGUCAAACCAGUAAGAGUUUAGAUAUUAUUUGUUACUGUGUCCUUGCCAAGCCUCUACUAACGAAUGUACUUAAAAACAAUUACCUGGUGAGGUAGGGCAGUGAAGAAGAACAGAAGUUUUGUAGUCCUACAGGAGUAAUUGAAACCUCAGUUCUGCCAUCUACUACUUGUAUAACCUUAGGCAUUAUUUGGAGGGAACUAGAAAUUAAUACUGGCAAUAUUUUUACACUUUAUACCAAAAAGAGGGUAGAUAUAGGUCCAGGAAAACUUAAGUGAGAGAAAUUCCACGGAAGUUGUUUUAGCUCUGAGACAACAUAUUCACCAAGGUACCACCUCAUCUCAUUUUGUUUUCCCAAAAUGGUUUCCUUGUUUUUCUUCUGUAAAGGAUUCUAUUGUGUUUUCCAUACAAACUAAUCUUGUAUGAAUUUGGAUGGCACAAGUCUUUUUUAAAAAUAGACCUUAUUCAUGCCUUGAUGAACUGAAAUGUCAUGCUUCAGAUCUGGCAGCUGGAAGUUAAAAAUCCUGCAUUUUGUAUGGUGACCUUGAGCCUUUGCAUGUCCAUUUCCCUUUCAUCCUUUUUUGGGGAGACCCCAUGGGUGGUUUCCCAUUGGUUGUUCAGAUUUAACCAUUAUUGGCUGUUUCUCCCUCAUUUUGCAUCCUCAAAGCAGUGUGAUGGAAAUUCAGUGUUAUGUGACCUGAAACUAGCAUUUUGCAGACAUUAUUUUUUGUGUUGAAGAGCUCGCUCUAAUAUAAUGUCCAAUCUUCCCACAAUUAUCACAUUUUCUUUCCCUGCUGAACACUCUGAAGCAUUUUUGCUGAGUAGUUACAGAACCACAGUGGAAAUGGUCCUGGUCUCUGGUGGUCAGAUUUGCAGAAUUUCCCCAAAUCAUUGUAAACCCUGUACACAUGCUUCACAUAUGCAAAAAGCCUACUAUUAUGCCAAACAGGUUAGUGGGUUAUUCUGGGGUGCCCUCUUUGCCAUUAGCCUUACUGCUGCAGGAUCAUGGUGCAUUGGACUAGAACUCCCCAGCAGCUCCAUUUGCUGCCUGCUGCUCAAUGAAUUUUGUAUUAGCAGGCAAAUGAAACACUCAACCAAGUGAAAGGAAUUCAUAAUGUUGAGGCUUCUAGGAUCAGGAUGUGCCAUGCGCUUUGCAAAGAGGAUUGUGUCUAUCAACAUGCAAUGACUAAUCUAGAUAAAUUGCCACUUUUCAGCACAUCUGGUCUCAAGUUACUUAAAUUAGGGGAGUUCAGCCGUAGAACACCAGCUGAACUAGAGCCUACACAUUCAUAUGUUCCCUCCACAUGCAUAAAUGCUCAAUGAUGGACUUGGUAGUGAUUGGAACCCCUCAUUUCUGAGCAACUGAUAAACCGUACAGUGUUUCUUUGCUGUACCAUAAUUAGGACAAUGUAAUAACGCACCAAAAGUGAUCUUCCAAGCAAGAUAGUUGGGAUUAAUGUUCACAAAAUCUCUUUAUUAACCUGAAUAUCCUCUUUAAAAGUAGUAUGAGAAAAGCUUUUACCCCUUAAAUUGGCAUUUUGGUAAAUAUCACAAAUCUGUUUUAGACCCUAUUCUCAUAAUAAUGAGCCAAAGCCUUACACAAACAUAAUAAUAAUAACUUGCCCAUAACUCCUUGCCAUUUUCUUCUUCCAUGUCUUCCUUAAACAACGAUAAGCUCUGGUGAAGCUUCCACCUUCAGCUGGGUCCUUUUUAAUAACUUCAUGGAGUUUAGAUUUGGAAGGACCUUGGAGGUAAUUUACCCCAAACCGUCUUACUCUGCAGAACAGAAAACUGAGGCCCAGUUCAAUAUAAGUUGAGCUAAUACUUCAAUGUGGUUGCCAAGGAAGCUAAUGCAAUAUUGGACUGUAUUAAAUCAGAACAUGAGUGGUGAUGCUGUCACCAUAUUCUGAACU